rnacentral:rRNA from 1 species
AGGACGAACGCUUGCGACGUGCCUAAGAAAUGCAAGUCGAACGGGAUAGUAAUAUCUAGUGGCGAACGGUCGCGUAACACGUGGGCAACCUGCCCCAGAGCGGGGGACAACAAUCCGAAAGGGUUGCUAAUACCGCAUGUGAAGGGGGAUGGCAUCAUCCCUUUUUCAAAGCCUUGUGCACUCUGGGAUGGGCCCGCGGCCUAUCAGCUAGUUGGUGGGGUAACGGCCUACCAAGGCAUCGACGGGUAGCUGGUCUGAGAGGACGAUCAGCCGGAUUGGGACUGAGAUACGGCCCAGACUCCUACGGGGGGCAGCAAUUAGGAAUCUUGCACAAUGGGGGAAACCCUGAUGCAGCGACGUCGCGUGGAGGAUGAAAUCUUUCGGGAUGUAAACUCCUUUUAACGGGGAAGAAAAAUGACGGUACCGUUGAAUAAGCCCGGACUAACUACGCGCCAGCAGCCGC